UGUUUUCUAUCCCUUCCAUCAUCGAGAAAACUCAUUUCUCUGUUCACUCUCUCUUUCUUUUUUCCUCCUCCCCUUCAGCUCUUCUCAUCCGUUAAUCAUUAAUCGAUCUGUUCAUUCAAUCUGUUAAGAGAUUUAGGGUUAAUCGAUAUCUUUCUUACACCAGUUUCGAUCUGUGGUUUUAUUUGUUGAAGAACUGAAGAAAUUUGAAGAUCUGAUAUGAAAUCUCAUCUUAGAAGGGUUUGAAAGACUGAAGAAUUGAAGUUGAAGUUUGGUCAUCGGAGUUUGAACUUGGAAGUUGGAACUUGAAAAACUAAGCAGAUUUAUGGUCUGGCACCCAUUCGGCGUGUUUUGGAUGACUUGGAAAGUGAUGAGUUGACCCUUGCUUCCGACCAAGUUGUAAAAACCUAGCUACCUGGUUUGCUGAAGUGUAUGUAGGUGCAACUCGAAAUACUUAUAUACAUCAGAGGGCAUCAGGUCUUUUCGACUUUUGCCAUCAGUGGUGGACUGGGAAAAGUAACAAGAUGCAGGGGAAGGCCUGUAGUUCAAGUGUGCUGUAGAAAAAUGUAUAAAAAAGAAUUACUAUUUCUUGUAAAUUUUUAUUUAUUUUUUAAGGACUGGGAAAUACGUAUAUACAUCAGAGGGCAUCAGGUAAAUGGCUUGUUCUUUAUUACAAAACCACUGUAAGUAUUUCUCAUUGUUCUUUUCCCCAACUGAUAUUUUUUUGUAAUUUCAUCCCUAUGUGGUAUGACAUCUUAGUUUUGUCUGCUUUUAACAUAGGUUGGUAUAUAUGCUUAUGAUUCAGAGAGUGAAAUGACGACAACUCUUUAUGGAUUGGAAUUAUGAACUUAAAGCAAGGGAUGAAGGGGUUGAUUUGUCAUCUGGGAUCGUUAAUUGGAUGAUUCUCUGCUGCAACAAGUUUGGAGCAAAAAGGUUGGAGAACAAGGCAGACAUUAGGUUGCAGUAAGUUUCUAUGUACAUUCUAAGUUAAAUGAAUUUGUGAACAUAGGAAUUUCUAUGAACUGAUACUUGGUAUAUAUCCCUUGGUAUUUGUUACUUAACAAAAAAAAAUUGUACUUAGAAGAAUUUAAGUUCUUUUUGUAUGAAUCUUUUGUGUGAAUCCAUUUGAAUGUGAUAAGAAUUGAUUGAAAGU